GAUGAACGCUGGCGGCGUGCCUAAUACAUGCAAGUCGAGCGAACAGACGAGGAGCUUGCUCCUCUGACGUUAGCGGCGGACGGGUGAGUAACACGUGGAUAACCUACCUAUAAGACUGGGAUAACUUCGGGAAACCGGAGCUAAUACCGGAUAAUAUAUUGAACCGCAUGGUUCAAUAGUGAAAGACGGUUUUGCUGUCACUUAUAGAUGGAUCCGCGCCGCAUUAGCUAGUUGGUAAGGUAACGGCUUACCAAGGCAACGAUGCGUAGCCGACCUGAGAGGGUGAUCGGCCACACUGGAACUGAGACACGGUCCAGACUCCUACGGGAGGCAGCAGUAGGGAAUCUUCCGAAAUGGGCGAAAGCCUGACGGAGCAACGCCGCGUGAGUGAUGAAGGUCUUCGGAUCGUAAAACUCUGUUAUUAGGGAAGAACAAAUGUGUAAGUAACUAUGCACGUCUUGACGGUACCCAAUCAGAAAGCCACGGCUAACUACGUG
rnacentral:rRNA from 1 species